GUCCACACGGACAUUAUAGAUGAGAAUUGUUGAAUCAUCCAUACCAAUAGCGAUUAUGUUGUUAUCAGGCGGAUAGAAAACAAUACAUGUUGCUGCAGGUGGGGAUUGCAUGAAACUUCUCAUUCUCUACAGUAAUCGAGCAAAUUGGAAAUGGUAGGUUAGUUAUUUCUAUAUGUCGAGCAUCCUAAAGUUCAAUGAUAUGAGAGCUCUAAGUUAGGUGCUACCCUGUGAAUUGAACAUAGAACAUUUUGCCAAUCUUUCACAAGCAUCCAAAGCAGCUACAACUUUUAGUAUUACCUUAAAAAUCAACAUGUUGAACAAAGAAACCAUCUUUCCAGAUGCUGAGACAACAUAAGAAUCAUUCUUGGACAAACAAAAGCACGGUGAGACUAAGUCGAUGUUACUUUCGGGAAGGUCAUUGAUCAUCAGCAACCCACUCUUUGGUUGCCACAGUUGAGGGACACACUUUGUAGUUGCCUGUUGCAGCAAAUACUCAGUUACUCUUUAAACAAUGACUGGCUGAUCAAAUCGAAGAUACAUAUAUACAAGCACUUGCAUAGGUGCAGAGAGAGAGAGAGAGAGAGAGAGGCUCAAAAUGCAUUCCAUUACAGCAAAACAGUUGAAUUUGAAUCUAUCCAAACUCAAAUCUCUUUAUACCAUUUUUUCUCACCAACUCCAACGUUUGUGUCUACACAACCAGUUCUUGAAUGCAUGCUCAAUUUCUUGAUAUCUUCAGACGUGUUCGGUGCAAGUACCUUUUUUCUCUCGCUAAACCUGUCCAAUAUUGUCUAAUCCAGCCUACCAAACAUGCCCUCAAUUUUCGAUCUGGAGGGGCGCAGUCCAUGUACUUUCAGAUUCCAUGGGUUCAAUGAUGACGACUCCACCAUCCGAUAACCCUAAGGCAAACUGGUUUGCCUUUUGUGGAUGAGCGGCAACCACCAGUGGAUAUACACGAGUUCUGCAUCCACCAUAACAAAAAUCAAAUUAAGCACCCUUGACAUGAGUGAAUGUCACACACACACAAAGUUGGAUCACUGAUGCUGAAGAACAUGAAUUCUGCCAGAAUUUAUGACAAAUUGGCGAAGUAAAUUACACUUUUUGCUCGUUGUCAAGAAAGGUAAAAAUGCAGUUAAGCUCCAUUUCGUUUUAGAUUUAUAAAAAAUAAAAUUCAGGAAAAUAUGUAUUGGUAUAGAAGGAUUUUGUCCAGACUUUCCAUCCCCUUUAACAGAACUAGAUAGUCCUUUUGUCCGAAAUUGCCAAAACUAAUUAAUUUUCUUGAGACAUUUUUGUCAGCGAGACUUUACUAUGGACACGUGCAGUUUUGCAAACAUUGACUGGAGAAAGAGAUGUGACUAAAAACCAUGAAUAAUGCAACUAAAUCAUUGAUACAGAAUUGAUUUUUUUAUAAAUUGUUGGUUGGGUCAAACGGAUUCAACUAUCAAGUACCUGAUAUGCUGUGGAAGGUAAGCAGAGGGAUCAAUCUCAAAUCUUGGAACGAGAUCUGAAGCACCGAGUAUCAGAACAAUUCCAUCCCUCAUGACAGUGUAUAACAAUUCAGCAUCACAAGAAAAUGCAGCAUGGGCAAUCCGUGCACAGAAGUUUCCAACGACCCACUGAAAUUAUAGCAUACGUAAAUUGUAAAGUCACGUGUAUGACAGCAUCGAAGCACUUCUCUUCUAAACGUGUCAAAGAGAGGAAGAGACCUGCUUAACACACUGUAGUUUUGUUGUUUCGUAUAUUGCAAGUUGAGUCUCAUGUACAGCAAGAAAGUGUCUUUCAUCCUUGUCAAAUUGGACAUGAGUCUCCGAUAGUUCUGAAGGUAACCAACCGGAGGAAAUCUCUAAAAAUGUGUUGUUCUUUUUCUCCCACGUGAUUGAAUCCCAUACAACAAUCUGCAGAAUAAUGGAGGAAAAAUAGAUUAUUUAAAUAUGUUUACGACAACAAUCUUAAAGUUGGCAACCUCGAAAAAGUCGAUCAAUUGUAUCUCUCUACGUCAAGAUUGAUUUUAUUUUCAAACUUGGAAAAUGUAGUAUUCAUAGAACUGUAUGGUAUAAUAAACAAGAUUUUAGUUUCUUUUUUCUUAGUUCAUACAAUCUAGUACUAUACAAUUCUCCCUACCAAGCAAGCCAAUAGCGUCUAAAUAAUAUAUAUUUGACAACCUGAGUUCAUUUAAGCUGGUAAAUAAAUUAUUAUACUUGAAAACAUUUAUUGAUUCACAUUCAAAGGAGGAAUCUGGCUGUCCUUCUGCACGAUCAACCAAUAGAAUAUAUAGAAUACCAACCUGAGCAUCCAAUCCAGAAGAGACAAGUACAUUUAACACGGUUGAGAAAGAAAGGCUGCUAAUUCUCUUAGAAUGGCCCUUAAGCUUAUUUGUCAACUGCAAAAUGAAGGCAAUGGCUAAAUGCUGCACAUUUCUUCUUAAUCUUUCUAACUCUAAUAUAAGUGAAUGUUGGACACAUAUAUCAUACCUCGUCCACACGGACAUUAUAGAUGAGAAUUGUUGAAUCAUCCAUACCAAUAGCGAUUAUGUUGUUAUCAGGCGGAUAGAAAACAAUACAUGUUGCUGCAGGUGGGGAUUGCAUGAAACUUCUCAUUCUCUACAGUAAUCGAGCAAAUUGGAAAUGGUAGGUUAGUUAUUUCUAUAUGUCGAGCAUCCUAAAGUUCAAUGAUAUGAGAGCUCUAAGUUAGGUGCUACCCUGUGAAUUGAACAUAGAACAUUUUGCCAAUCUUUCACAAGCAUCCAAAGCAGCUACAACUUUUAGUAUUACC
rnacentral:lncRNA from 1 species